rnacentral:rRNA from 1 species
UACGUAGGGGCCAAGCGUUGUCCGGAUUUAUUGGGCGUAAAGAGCUCGUAGGCGGUCUGUCGCGUCGGCUGUGAAAACUCGAGGCUCAACCUCGAGACGUCGGUUGAAACCACCUGGCUAGAGUCCGGGAAGAGGAGAGUGGAAUUCCUGGUGUAGCGGUGAAAUGCGCAGAUAUCAGGAAGAACACCCGUGGCGAAGGCGGCUCUCUGGGACGGUACUGAGCUGAGACGCGAAAGCGUGGGGAGCGAACAGG